rnacentral:rRNA from 1 species
GGGGAAUCUUCCGCAAUGGACGAAAGUCUGACGGAGCAACGCCGCGUGAGUGAUGACGGCCUUCGGGUUGUAAAGCUCUGUUAAUCGGGACGAAAGGCCUUCUUGCGAAUAGUUAGAAGAAUUGACGGUACCGGAAUAGAAAGCCACGGCUAACUACGUGCCAGCAGCCGCGGUAAUACGUAGGUGGCAAGCGUUGUCCGGAAUUAUUGGGCGUAAAGCGCGCGCAGGCGGAUUGGACAGUCUGUCUUAAAAGUUCGGGGCUUAACCCCGUGAUGGGAUGGAAACUGCCAAUCUAGAGUAUCGGAGGGGAAAGUGGAAUUCCUAGUGUAGCGGUGAAAUGCGUAGAUAUUAGGAAGAACACCAGUGGCGAAGGCGACUUUCUGGACGAAAACUGACGCUGAGGCGCGAAAGCCAGGGGAGCGAACGGGAUUAGAUACCCCGGUAGUCCUGGCCGUAAACGAUGGGUACUAGGUGUAGGAGGUAUCGACCCCUUCUGUGCCGGAGUUAACGCAAUAAGUACCCCGCCUGGGGAGUACGACCGCAAGGUUG